GACGAACGCUGGCGGCGUGCUUAACACAUGCAAGUCGAGCGGUAAGGCCCUUUCGGGGGUACACGAGCGGCGAACGGGUGAGUAACACGUGGGUGACCUGCCCUCAGCUCUGGGAUAAGCCCGGGAAACUGGGUCUAAUACCGGAUAUGACUCCAUGACGCAUGUUGUGGGGUGGAAAGCCUUGUGCGGCUGAGGAUGGGCCCGCGGCCUAUCAGCUUGUUGGUGGGGUGAUGGCCUACCAAGGCGACGACGGUAGCCGGCCUGAGAGGGCGACCGGCCACACUGGGACUGAGAUACGGCCCAGACUCCUACGGGAGGCAGCAGUGGGGAAUCUUGCGCAAUGGGCGAAAGCCUGACGCAGCGACGCCGCGUGAGGAU
rnacentral:rRNA from 1 species